GAUGAACGCUGGAGGCGUGCUUAACACAUGCAAGUCGAACGGUGAAGCAGAGCUUGCUCUGUGGAUCAGUGGCGAACGGGUGAGUAACACGUGAGCAACCUGCCCCUGACUCUGGGAUAAGCGCUGGAAACGGCGUCUAAUACUGGAUAUGAGCUGCGACCGCAUGGUCAGCAGUUGGAAAGAUUUUUCGGUCUGGGAUGGGCUCACGGCCUAUCAGCUUGUUGGUGAGGUAAUGGCUCACCAAGGCGUCGACGGGUAGCCGGCCUGAGAGGGUGACCGGCCACACUGGGACUGAGACACGGCCCAGACUCCUACGGGAGGCAGCAGUGGGGAAUAUUGCACAAUGGGCGAAAGCCUGAUGCAGCAACGCCGCGUGAGGGAUGACGGCCUUCGGGUUGUAAACCUCUUUUAGCAGGGAAGAAGCGAAAGUGACGGUACCUGCAGAAAAAGCGCCGGCUAACUACGUG
rnacentral:rRNA from 1 species